GGAGAGGUGGCUCAGAGGUUAAGAGCACUGACUGUUCUUCCAGAGGUCCUGAGUUCAAUUCCUAGCAUCUACA
rnacentral:tRNA from 1 species